rnacentral:rRNA from 1 species
UGGCGGACGGGUGAGUAACGCGUGGGUAACCUGCCUCAUACAGGGGGAUAACAGUUAGAAAUGACUGCUAAUACCGCAUAAGACCACAGCACCGCAUGGUGCAGGGGUAAAAACUCCGGUGGUAUGAGAUGGACCCGCGUCUGAUUAGGUAGUUGGUGGGGUAACGGCCUACCAAGCCGACGAUCAGUAGCCGACCUGAGAGGGUGACCGGCCACAUUGGGACUGAGACACGGCCCGA